rnacentral:rRNA from 1 species
GUUUGAUCAUGGCUCAGGAUGAACGCUAGCGGCAGGCCUAAUACAUGCAAGUCGAACGGUGUCUUCGGACAUAGUGGCGCACGGGUGCGUAACACGUAUGCAACCUACCUUACAUUGGGGGAUAGCCUUUCGAAAGGGAGAUUAAUACCGCAUAAGACAGUAGUCUGGCAUCAGACAGCUGUUAAAGAUUUAUCGAUGUAAGCUGGGCAUGCGACCAAUUAGUUAGUUGGCGAGGUAAUGGCUCACCAAGACUAUGAUUGGUAGGGGAACUGAGAGGUCAAUCCCCCACACUGGCACUGAGAUACGGGCCAGACUCCUACGGGAGGCAGCAGUAGGGAAUAUUGGGCAAUGGACGCAAGUCUGACCCAGCCAUGCCGCGUGCAGGAAGAAGGCGUUAUGCGUUGUAAACUGCUUUUAUACAGGAAGAAACGACUCUUGCGAGAGGCAUUGACGGUACUGUAUGAAUAAGCACCGGCUAACUCCGUGCCAGCAGCCGCGGUAAUACGGAGGGUGCAAGCGUUGUCCGGAUUUAUUGGGUUUAAAGGGUGCGCAGGUGGUUUAUUAAGUCAGUGGUGAAAGACGGUCGCUCAACGAUUGCAGUGCCAUUGAAACUGGUAGACUUGAGUAAAGUAGAGGUGGGCGGAAUUGAUAGUGUAGCGGUGAAAUGCAUAGAUAUUAUCAAGAACUCCAAUUGCGUAGCAGCUCACUUGGCUUUUACUGACACUCAUGCACGAAAGUGUGGGUAUCAAACAGGAUUAGAUACCCUGGUAGUCCACACUGUAAACGAUGAUACUAAGUGUCGGCCGAAUCUGGUCGUGCACAGCGAAAGCGUUAAGUUAUCCACCUGGG